rnacentral:lncRNA from 1 species
CUUAUGUUGAUGAAGCCAAAGAAAAAGAAUAUUGGUUUACAGAAGGCAAUCUAGAGAACAACAACGAGUUCAUAUCAUUUGGAGACGAUGGAAGUAACUAUACGGCCCUUGGUGAUUUUCACAAUUCUCAUUUUGAUGAUGAAUGUGACAUUUUGUCUCUGAAAAUUAUGGAUACUGAAAUUGAUUGCAAAAUAGAGGAUGUUAAUUCUCCGGAUUGGAGUAGCAUAUGGGAUGAAUUGCUUGACAGGACUGGUCAGAAUCCAGUGAAAGUGGAGAAAAUCGGAUAUUCGUCGGCAUUGACCUGCGGCCAUAUUGUUUCGUGCAAUGUUAGUUACAGCGACGAAGGGAACUUAUUUCAAAAUGCAAUCGUUGUAAAAGGCAUCGGUGGUCCAUUCUUAAAAGGCGGAGACUCAGGCUCUCUUGUUUCCUUUCAUGACAAAAAUGAGAAGAAACAGGUUUUCGCUUAUGGUGUUUGCGAAGUAGACGAGCUUCGCUUGCCAGAACAGCCCGAGUCAUCAAGUUCCACUUGGCAUGAAAAUGCUUUAUCGGAACAAACAACGAGCUCCGAAGAUGAUGAUAGUGAUG